rnacentral:rRNA from 1 species
CGGUGGAUGAUGUGGUUAAUUCGAUGCAACGCGAAAACCUUACUACCUGACAUGUCCGGAAUCCCGAAGAGAUUUGGGAGUGCUCGCAAGAGAGCCGGAACACAGGUGCUGCAUGGCUGUCGUCAGCUCGUGUCGUGAGAUGUUGGGUUAAGUCCCGCAACGAGCGCAACCCUUGUCAUUAGUUGCCAUCAUUGGUUGGGCACUCUAAUGAGACUGCCGGUGACAAACCGGAGGAAGUGGGGAUGACGUCAAGUCCUCAUGGCCCUUAUGGGUAGGGCUUCACACGUCAUACAAUGGUCGGUACAGAGGGUUGCCAACCCGCGAGGGGGAGCUAAUCCCACAAAGCCGAUCGUAGUCCGGAUCGCAGUCUGCAACUCGACUGCGUGAAGUCGGAAUCGCUAGUAAUCGUGGAUCAGCAUGUCACGGUGAAUACGUUCCCGGGUCUU